GAUGAACGCUAGCGGCAGGCUUAAUACAUGCGAGUCGAGGGGUAGCAAGAUUGUAGCAAUACAAUUGUUGACGACCGGCAAACGGGUGCGGAACACGUACACAACCUUCCUACAAGUGGGGAAUAGCCCAGAGAAAUUUGGAUUAAUACCCCGUAACAUAGCGAUGUGGCAUCACAUUGCUAUUAUAGCUUCGGCGCUUGUUGAUGGGUGUGUGGCUGAUUAGAUAGUUGGCGGGGUAACGACCCACCAAGUCUACGAUCAGUAGCUGAUGUGAGAGCAUGAUCAGCCACACGGGCACUGAGACACGGGCCCGACUCCUACGGGAGGCAGCAGUAAGGAAUAUUGGACAAUGGACGCAAGUCUGAUCCAGCCAUGCCGCGUGAAGGAUUAAGGUCCUCUGGAUUGUAAACUUCUUUUAUAAGGGACGAAAAAAGGUCUUUCUAGAUCGUCUGACGGUACCUUAUGAAUAAGCACCGGCUAACUCCGUGCCAGCAGCCGCAGUAAAAC
rnacentral:rRNA from 1 species